GCUCCCUGCUGAGUUAACAGAGAUGCUCUGAAGCAGCUCUGCUUUCUUUCCUGUUCAGCCUUAUCCAGCCUUUUACUGCAAACCAUCAACCUGCUAAAUCACUGAGAGACGGAGCUCUUCAGCAUCUCUGCAUUGCAGCCAUGGCAACCACAGAAAGCAUGUUUCCAGAUCGAAGUGACUUUGACUAUGUACCAACUCAUCUGGUACCCAAAUUCCAAAGACAGAGGUGCCUCCUCAAACUGUAUAGAAAAUACUGAAUGUUCUGGGGCGAGAGGAA